UACAGGGGGUGCAAACGUUGCUCGGAAUUACUGGGCGUAAAGGGCGCGUAGGCGGCCCGCUAAGUCGAACGUGAAAUCCCCAGGCUCAACCUGGGAACUGCGUCCGAUACUGGCAGGCUUGAAUCCGGGAGAGGGAUGUGGAAUUCCAGGUGUAGCGGUGAAAUGCGUAGAUAUCUGGAGGAACACCGGUGGCGAAGGCGGCAUCCUGGACCGGUAUUGACGCUGAGGCGCGAAAGCUAGGGGAGCAAACGGG
rnacentral:rRNA from 1 species